GAUACUACGAAGUGCUAAUCGAUCUUUCUGCAAUGGGCCUCGAAUAUCUAAAAUCAAUGAAGCUUGAACGUGCAUUUAUCAUAUUCAAACGUAUCGAAUAUUUCAUUUAUCACCGUCUACUCAAUCAUACCGGCUACAAAACCUUCGAAUCAGCUGCAAAAGCUCAAAUAAUGCGUCGAAUUCCAAUGAUAAUGUAUGUCGCCCAACAGCUUAUCAUUGAUUUUGUGAUGCCUGUCUAUGAACGACAGGCGGCCUAUUUCCGAUAUGAAGAGCUUCAGCGACGGCUUAAAAUUCUGAAUCCAGACGCUUGGCGGAUGUAUAUGACGGAAUUCGCUCAGAGAGAAGCACAGUUUUAUCGGGAAGCUGAACGAAUUUCUACACGAUUUGGUGUGGAACUUCAGAGCUUUUUACCUCAGGAAGUGCUCCCCGAUGAGCAUCAUCCGUCGAAUUUUCCGCCGAGAACUUUUCCCG
rnacentral:sRNA from 1 species